rnacentral:rRNA from 1 species
GAAUUAAGCAUAUCAAUAAGCGGAGGAAAAGAAACCAACAGGGAUUGCUUCAGUAACGGCGAGUGAAGCGGCAACAGCUCAAAUUUGAAAUCCGGCUUCGUGCCCGAGUUGUAAUUUGCAGAGGGUAUUUCGAGGGCGACGUCGGCCUAAGUCCCUUGGAACAGGGCGUCAUAGAGGGUGAGAAUCCCGUCUGCGGCCGACGAUCCAUCUCAUGUGAAAUCCCUUCGACGAGUCGAGUUGUUUGGGAAUGCAGCUCAAAAUGGGUGGUAAAUUUCAUCUAAAGCUAAAUACCGGCCAGAGACCGAUAGCGCACAAGUAGAGUGAUCGAAAGAUGAAAAGCACUUUGGAAAGAGAGUUAAAAAGUACGUGAAAUUGUUGAAAGGGAAACGCUUGCCAAUAGACCGAUCGGCGGGCUGCAGUUGGGGAUUUCUUUCCCGGCGUGACGCACCCGUCAUUCGGCCAGCAUCGGUUUCGGUGGCUCGACAAAGAUCGUGGGAACGUGGCUUCCUCGGAGUGUUAUAGCCCACGAUGUCAUGGAGCCUACCGGGACCGAGGACCGCGCUUCGGCUUAGGAUGCUGGCGUAAU